CUCUCUCUCUCUCUCUCUCACAUCGGAAGUUUCUGCUGUUGUGUUGGACCCAAGCGGAAACCCUAGCUCUAAUCGACGUCUACCGCAAACAGUGGUACACUCUCCGACGGGGCUACCUCCAGACUGACGACUGGGACACAGUGGCCGCCGCCGUCAUCCUCUGCUACCCCAACGCCUCUCCUUCUAAAACCUCUGCCCAGUGCCGCCACAAGGCAGUGGAAAUGCAGCAUGAUCAGCGAUCCAGAGCUUAACAGCUUGGAAUGCGACUUCGAACUGGGAUCUACCAAGCUGAGAGAAAGAGAAUGGGGGUUGAAGGGUAAUUGUGCCUUUUCACAAUAUGGUUCAAGGGUAUUAUGGUCAAUUCAGCUGCCAAGUUAAUUUCGUUCAUGUUCUUGUUCAUGUUCUUUUAACGAGAAGGGGGAAUUUGUGUAUUAUUUUCAAAAGUCGGGGAGGUCAGUGUUAUUUUUGAAAUUAUAUGAGAAGUCCCUGUAAUUAAGGUAAACCUCAUGGGAGGUCAGUGUAAUUUACCCAAUUAAUUUUUGAAGACUCCACUGGCAUAUAAUUUUUCAAAAGAAAAAAAAA